rnacentral:rRNA from 1 species
AUUGAACGCUGGCGGCAUGCCUUACACAUGCAAGUCGAACGGCAGCACGGGAGCAAUCCUGGUGGCGAGUGGCGAACGGGUGAGUAAUAUAUCGGAACGUGCCCAGUCGUGGGGAUAACGUAGCGAAAGCUACGCUAAUACCGCAUACGAUCUAUGGAUGAAAGCGGGGGAUCGCAAGACCUCGCGCGAUUGGAGCGGCCGAUAUCAGAUUAGGUAGUUGGUGAGGUAAGGACGUCACCAACGACCGACC